rnacentral:rRNA from 1 species
GGUUAAGCAACUAAGCGUACACGGUGGAUGCCCUGGCAGUCAGAGGCGAUGAAGGACGUGCUAAUCUGCGAUAAGCGUCGGUAAGGUGAUAUGAACCGUUAUAACCGGCGAUUUCCGAAUGGGGAAACCCAGUGUGUUUCGACACACUAUCAUUAACUGAAUCCAUAGGUUAAUGAGGCGAACCGGGGGAACUGAAACAUCUAAGUACCCCGAGGAAAAGAAAUCAACCGAGAUUCCCCCAGUAGCGGCGAGCGAACGGGGAGCAGCCCAGAGUCUGAAUCAGUGUGUGUGUUAGUGGAAGCGUCUGGAAAGGCGCGCGAUACAGGGUGACAGCCCCGUACACAAAAAUGCACAUGCUGUGAGCUCGAUGAGUAGGGCGGGACACGUGGUAUCCUGUCUGAAUAUGGGGGGACCAUCCUCCAAGGCUAAAUACUCCUGACUGACCGAUAGUGAACCAGUACCGUGAGGGAAAGGCGAAAAGAACCCCGGCGAGGGGAGUGAAAAAGAACCUGAAACCGUGUACGUACAAGCAGUGGGAGCACGCUUAGGCGUGUGACUGCGUACCUUUUGUAUAAUGGGUCAGCGACUUAUAUUCUGUAGCAAGGUUAACCGAAUAGGGGAGCCGAAGGGAAACCGAGUCUUAACUGGGCGUUAAGUUGCAGGGUAUAGACCCGAAACCCGGUGAUCUAGCCAUGGGCAGGUUGAAGGUUGGGUAACACUAACUGGAGGACCGAACCGACUAAUGUUGAAAAAUUAGCGGAUGACUUGUGGCUGGGGGUGAAAGGCCAAUCAAACCGGGAGAUAGCUGGUUCUCCCCGAAAGCUAUUUAGGUAGCGCCUCGUGAAUUCAUCUCCGGGGGUAGAGCACUGUUUCGGCAAGGGGGUCAUCCCGACUUACCAACCCGAUGCAAACUGCGAAUACCGGAGAAUGUUAUCACGGGAGACACACGGCGGGUGCUAACGUCCGUCGUGAAGAGGGAAACAACCCAGACCGCCAGCUAAGGUCCCAAAGUCAUGGUUAAGUGGGAAACGAUGUGGGAAGGCCCAGACAGCCAGGAUGUUGGCUUAGAAGCAGCCAUCAUUUAAAGAAAGCGUAAUAGCUCACUGGUCGAGUCGGCCUGCGCGGAAGAUGUAACGGGGCUAAACCAUGCACCGAAGCUGCGGCAGCGACACUGUGUGUUGUUGGGUAGGGGAGCGUUCUGUAAGCCUGUGAAGGUGUACUGUGAGGUAUGCUGGAGGUAUCAGAAGUGCGAAUGCUGACAUAAGUAACGAUAAAGCGGGUGAAAAGCCCGCUCGCCGGAAGACCAAGGGUUCCUGUCCAACGUUAAUCGGGGCAGGGUGAGUCGACCCCUAAGGCGAGGCCGAAAGGCGUAGUCGAUGGGAAACAGGUUAAUAUUCCUGUACUUGGUGUUACUGCGAAGGGGGGACGGAGAAGGCUAUGUUGGCCGGGCGACGGUUGUCCCGGUUUAAGCGUGUAGGCUGGUUUUCCAGGCAAAUCCGGAAAAUCAAGGCUGAGGCGUGAUGACGAGGCACUACGGUGCUGAAGCAACAAAUGCCCUGCUUCCAGGAAAAGCCUCUAAGCAUCAGGUAACAUCAAAUCGUACCCCAAACCGACACAGGUGGUCAGGUAGAGAAUACCAAGGCGCUUGAGAGAACUCGGGUGAAGGAACUAGGCAAAAUGGUGCCGUAACUUCGGGAGAAGGCACGCUGAUAUGUAGGUGAAGCGACUUGCUCGUGGAGCUGAAAUCAGUCGAAGAUACCAGCUGGCUGCAACUGUUUAUUAAAAACACAGCACUGUGCAAACACGAAAGUGGACGUAUACGGUGUGACGCCUGCCCGGUGCCGGAAGGUUAAUUGAUGGGGUUAGCGCAAGCGAAGCUCUUGAUCGAAGCCCCGGUAAACGGCGGCCGUAACUAUAACGGUCCUAAGGUAGCGAAAUUCCUUGUCGGGUAAGUUCCGACCUGCACGAAUGGCGUAAUGAUGGCCAGGCUGUCUCCACCCGAGACUCAGUGAAAUUGAACUCGCUGUGAAGAUGCAGUGUACCCGCGGCAAGACGGAAAGACCCCGUGAACCUUUACUAUAGCUUGACACUGAACAUUGAGCCUUGAUGUGUAGGAUAGGUGGGAGGCUUUGAAGUGUGGACGCCAGUCUGCAUGGAGCCGACCUUGAAAUACCACCCUUUAAUGUUUGAUGUUCUAACGUUGACCCGUGAUCCGGGUUGCGGACAGUGUCUGGUGGGUAGUUUGACUGGGGCGGUCUCCUCCUAAAGAGUAACGGAGGAGCACGAAGGUUGGCUAAUCCUGGUCGGACAUCAGGAGGUUAGUGCAAUGGCAUAAGCCAGCUUGACUGCGAGCGUGACGGCGCGAGCAGGUGCGAAAGCAGGUCAUAGUGAUCCGGUGGUUCUGAAUGGAAGGGCCAUCGCUCAACGGAUAAAAGGUACUCCGGGGAUAACAGGCUGAUACCGCCCAAGAGUUCAUAUCGACGGCGGUGUUUGGCACCUCGAUGUCGGCUCAUCACAUCCUGGGGCUGAAGUAGGUCCCAAGGGUAUGGCUGUUCGCCAUUUAAAGUGGUACGCGAGCUGGGUUUAGAACGUCGUGAGACAGUUCGGUCCCUAUCUGCCGUGGGCGCUGGAGAACUGAGGGGGGCUGCUCCUAGUACGAGAGGACCGGAGUGGACGCAUCACUGGUGUUCGGGUUGUCAUGCCAAUGGCACUGCCCGGUAGCUAAAUGCGGAAGAGAUAAGUGCUGAAAGCAUCUAAGCACGAAACUUGCCCCGAGAUGAGUUCUCCCUGACUCCUUGAGAGUCCUGAAGGAACGUUGAAGACGACGACGUUGAUAGGCCGGGUGUGUAAGCGCAGCGAUGCGUUGAGCUAACCGGUACUAAUGAACCGUGAGGCUUAACCUU